AUACAGAGGGUGCAAGCGUUAAUCGGAUUUACUGGGCUGUAAAGCGCGCGUAGGCGGCUAAUUAAGUCAAAUGUGAAAUCCCCGAGCUUAACUUGGGAAUUGCAUUCGAUACUGGUAGCUAGAGUGCUGGGAGAGGAUGGUAGAAUUCCAGGUGUAGCGGUGUAAAUGCGUAGAGAUCUGGAGGAAUACCGAUGGCGAAGGCAGCCAUCUGGCCUAACACUGACGCUGAGGUGCGAAAGCAUGGGGAGCAAACAGGAUUAGAUACCCUGGUAGUCCAUGCCGUAAACGAUGUCUACUAGCCGUUGGGGCCUUUGAGGCUUUAGUGGCGCAGCUAACGCGAUAAGUAGACCGCCUGGGGAGUACGGUCGCAAGACUCAAAACUCAAAGUGAAUUGACGG
rnacentral:rRNA from 1 species